rnacentral:rRNA from 1 species
GAUGAACGCUGACAGAAUGCUUAACACAUGCAAGUCUUUGGCGAAUCUGUGCUUGCACAGGCUAGCCAAGGCGGACGGGUGAGUAACGCGUAAAGAACUUGCCCUGCAGACAGGGAUAACAGACGGAAACGACUGAUAACACCUGAUACAGUUGCCGGCACGCAUGUGCCUGGCAAUGAAAAGAGAUGCUGCAGGAGAGCUUUGCGUCCUAUUAGCUUGUUGGUGAGGUGACGGCUCACCAAGGCGAUGAUAGGUAGCCGGCCGGAGAGGGUGAACGGCCACAAGGGGACUGAGAUACGGCCCUUACUCCUACGGGAGGCCGCAGUGGGGAAUAUUGGACAAUGGGGGCAACCCUGAUCCAGCAAUUCUGUGUGCACGAAGAAGGUUUUCGGAUUGUAAAGUGCUUUCAGCAGGGAAGAAGACAGUGACGGUACCUGCAGAAGAAGCGACGGCUAAAUACGUG